AUACGGAGGAGGCAAGCGUUGUUCGGAAUUAUUGGGCUUAAAGCGCGUGUAGGCGGCUUGGUAAGUCGGGUGUGAAAUCCCGGGGCUCAACCCCGGAACUGCACUCGAAACUGCCUCGCUAGAGUCCCGGAGAGGAAGGCGGAAUUCCCGGUGUAGAGGUGAAAUUCGUAGAUAUCGGGAGGAACACCAGUGGCGAAGGCGGCCUUCUGGACGGUGACUGACGCUGAGACGCGAAAGCGUGGGGAGCAAACAGGAUUAGAAACCCCGGUAGUCC
rnacentral:rRNA from 1 species